rnacentral:rRNA from 1 species
AUUGAACGCUGGCGGCAUGCCUAACACAUGCAAGUCGAACGGGGGCAGCGAUGCUCUAGUGGCGGACGGGUGAGGAAUGCGUAGGAAUCGGCCCACGAGUGGGGGACAACCUGGGGAAACUCAGGCUAAUACCGCAUGAGCUCGUAAGAGGAAAGCGGGGGAUCUUCGGACCUCGCGCUGGUGGACGAGCCUACGUCCGAUUAGCUGGUUGGUGAGGUAAAGGCUCACCAAGGCGACGAUCGGUAGCGGGUCUGAGAGGACGACCCGCCACACUGGGACUGAGACACGGCCCAGACUCCUACGGGAGGCAGCAGUGGGGAAUAUUGGACAAUGGGCGCAAGCCUGAUCCAGCAAUGCCGCGUGGGUGAAGACGGCCUGCGGGUUGUAAAGCCCUUUAGGCGGGGAGGAACGACCGGACGCUAACAUCGUCUGGAAGAGACGUUACCCGCAGAAUAAGCACCGGCUAACUCCGUGCCAGCCGCCGCUGUAACAC